AAACUCAAAGGAAUUGACGGGGGCCCGACAAGCGGUGGAGCAUGUGGUUUAAUUCGAAGCAACGCGAAGAACCUUACCAGGUCUUGACAUCCUUUGACCACUCUAGAGAUAGCAGCUUUCCCUUUGGGGACAAAGUGACAGGUGGUGCAUGGUUGUCGUCAGCUCGUGUCGUGAGAUGUUGUGUUAAGUCCCGCAACGAGCGCAACCCUUAUUGUUAGUUGCCAUCAUUUAGUUGGGCACUCUAGCGAGACUGCCGGUGACAAACCGGAGGAAGGUGGGGAUGACGUCAAAUCAUCAUGCCCCUUAUGACCUGGGCUACACACGUGCUACAAUGGGAAGUACAACGAGUCGCUAGACCGCGAGGUCAUGCAAAUCUCUUAAAGCUUCUCUCAGUUCGGAUUGCAGGCUGCAACUCGCCUGCAUGAAGCCGGAAUCGCUAGUAAUCGCGGAUCAUCACGCCGCGGUGAAUACGUUCCCGGGCCUUGUACACACCGCCCGU
rnacentral:rRNA from 1 species